rnacentral:rRNA from 1 species
UACGGGGGUGGCAAGCGUUGUUCGGAAUUACUGGGCGUAAAGGGCGCGUAGGCGGCUUGGAAAGUCAGAUGUGAAAGCCCCGGGCUUAACUCGGGAAUUGCAUCUGAAACUUCCUUGCUUGAGUUCUGGAGGGGGUAGUGGAAUUCCCAGUGUAGCGGUGAAAUGCGUAGAUAUUGGGAGGAACACCAGCGGCGAAGGCGGCUACCUGGACAGUGACUGACGCUGAUGCGCGAAAGCUAGGGGAGCAAACGGG